rnacentral:rRNA from 1 species
UACAGAGGUCUCAAGCGUUGUCCGGAAUCAUUGGGCGUAAAGAGCGUGUAGGCGGCCAGAUAAGUCCGCUGUGAAAACUCGAGGCUCAACUUCGAGCUGUCGGCGGAAACCAUCUAGCUAGAGUCCGGAAGAGGAGAGUGGAAUUCCUGGUGUAGCGGUGAAAUGCGCAGAUAUCAGGAAGAACACCCGUGGCGAAGGCGGCUCUCUGGUACGUGACUGACGCUGAGACGCGAAAGCGUGGGGAGCGAACAGG